rnacentral:ribozyme from 1 species
UUUGCUUCUGUUUUUUUGUUUUUCUUUCUCCUUCCCCCUUGUGCUCUUCUCAAAACAUCCCAGAGAGCCGACAACAACGAAUCGAAUUUGUCGAUUUGUAUUAGCAACAAGACAUGAGGAAACGGAAAAAAAGAAAAGGG